UACGAAGGGUGCAAGCGUUAAUCGGAAUUACUGGGCGUACAGGGUGCGUCGGCGGUUGUUUAAGUCUGUCGUGAAAUCCCCGGGCUCAACCUGGGAAUGGCGAUGGAUACUGGGCAGCUAGAGUGUGUCAGAGGAUGGUGGAAUUCCCGGUGUAGCGGUGAAAUGCGUAGAGAUCGGGAGGAACAUCAGUGGCGAAGGCGGCCAUCUGGGACAACACUGACGCUGAAGCACGAAAGCGUGGGGAGCAAACAGG
rnacentral:rRNA from 1 species